GUCAUGUUGAAACACUGAUUCCCAUACAAUCACCAAAGUUAAGCAAUGUUGAACCUGGUCAGUACCUACAUGGGUGAUUGCUUGAGAAUACCAGGUGCUGUAAG